AUUUUACUGUGAAUUUAAACUAUACACAACUGCACUAUUUGACCAUGUAGUACAUAAUUAUUUAUAAUCACACUAUCCGGUGUUAACCAAAUGAGGACAGGUUCCCUUUUGAGUCUGGUUUCUCUCGAGGUUUCUUCCUCAUAUCGUCUCAGGGAGUUUUUCCUCACUACCGUCACCACUGACUGCUCAUUACGGAAAGCUUUAGAGGAAAACAUGUCCAGACGAAUUUCUCAUGAAGAGUUCUCAGUCUCGCUUUUCCUUCCGCUGAAGUCAGGAGCUGUGGAGAAGGUGAGUAUCGAGCGGAAAGGGAGAGAGAAAUUCCAGAGCGAGUGGUGACAAAAAAAAUAAUAAAUCGACACCAUCACUCUCGCUAAAAUUUCCCAACUUCGGUUUGGUCAGGAAAGUUUCAGACACCUCUGGUUUCGUCACUGAUAUUCAUGACGUGUGACGUGGAUGCGUUUCCUCACCGUCUGACUUCAGCAGCAACGCGUGAGGAAAGUUUCAGUUACUUAGCCACUGUUUCAGUUCAGACUUUUAGAAAGUUCAUCAUUUCAGCUUUUUUAUGUGGCGUAACACUUUUGGGCUAACUCUCUCUCUCUCUCUCUCUCUCUCUCUCUCUCUCACACACACACACACACACACACAAACAAAAAUGUUGUACAAUGAAUAUUUAUUAAUAGUUUUUUUAUUUUGCAAACAGGUACAGUUUGCUUUUAGUUCACAUUCCAGUAUAAAAAUAAAAACAAUCCAUAAUUUAUUUUUAAGACGAUGUUUUCACAGAAAACUUCAUGUAAUGUUAGCAGAGUAGCACGACGGCUAGAUAAAGAAAACGCACAAAUUCACACAGGUUGCCUGGAUAUUGCUGAGACCACGUUACAGUUUAUCGAGCAC